AGAAACCACUGAGUGCAAUGCAAAAGGCUGGGGGUCGUGGGGGUGGCGGAAAUAUAACCAAAUAAGCAUGUACUAAAUAUAGCUAAAAGGGGGAGAACUGGAAAUUCAAGCGAAGUUCAAUUCUUUCUUGGAAUGGAAGCGGGGAGUGAUUAGCCAAGUCCUUGGUUCACCAAGAUCAGGCCAGUUAAUCCGGUGGUAUUGGCAGUGUGCAGCUUGAGAAACAAAUAUAUAUAUAUAUAUAUAUAUGUAUGUAUGUAUAUUAAAUGUACUAUUAUUAUGAGCAGUAAACUUGUCAAAUGAAUGCUCAGGCGCCUCGGAAAGCCAGCAUGCUGAGCUAUAUUUAGUAAAUGAUAACCUGGCUAUUUCCACAGAUCCGACUGUGCUUCGGGAGCCAAUUAUUUGCUAGGGGUAAAGAAAAGUAAAUAGAGGAGACUACUUGCCAAAUGAAAAACACGAAAAAUCGCAUCUCCUUUCCAGCCCUAAUAACCUGCUGGAGAUCAAUAGCCAGACCCCUUAACAUAAAAAUAAUUCUAUUAACCUGGAGUGAUUCUGCUUUUCAUCCCACAAAGAUACCCCCCCCCCCACAAAUAAAAAAAAAAGAUUAGCAGCUGUUGUCUCCUCAACCAGAGAGGGCGAGCGCCGAGGGGCAUCCAGAGGGAGACUAUUCAGGACCCCCUCCACGCCUUACGGGAGCAGCAAGAAGUGACUCCAGGAUCUGUGGACUCCAAGGAUGCUCUCCCUUUUCAGCGUUCCCCGAGACUUACUUCAGCCAUAAACUCUGGACGCUGGAGAAAGAAGUCCACAGCAGCGUUUGACACAUUACUUUGAAAAAAUCUCUCUCCCCUUUCCCUGCAUUUGCAACUGCUGAGCUCUCCAGCUACUGUGCUGACAACCUGUAAGGUGCCGCGGGUCCGUUCCAGGAGACCCCGGGAAGGGGUAGGAUGCAGCAUUCACGGCGAAACACCCCCUCGCCCAUUUAUUAUUCCUGUUGCUUACACCACAAGCCAUCACGUGGGCAAAUAGGUUGGUUAUUAAAAUGAAAAUGUUAGCUUGGCCUGGAUUUUCCAGCAAUGGUUUACCUCCUGCUGGUAUUUUUCCCCGGCACUGGAAUGUCCUCUCUGUUCUCUGCGCUUGGCGUUAUACGUGGAAGGAUUGAUUAAAUGGGCAGCGCCGACAAACAGGCUUUGAUCCGUUUCUUAAUACUCGGCCAGAGAAAGCACGUGCAACACGUGUGUUUUCUCCCCGUGUAAAUGCACGCUAGCCUCAUCCCCAUAUUUUGGCUUUGAGAGAAGUGCGGGUGCACACACACAUACAUAUAUAUGUGCACACAAAUUCAAAUAUAUGUGUAGAUGCAUUUAUAUGUGUAGAUGUACACAUACAUGUAGAUGUGCACAUGCAUAUACACACACACACACUUGCAUACCUAUCCAUAUAUAUAUAAAUAUACACACUAGCACACUCGCUAUGUGCAUAUACGGUACACCUGUGUGUGUGUGUGUGUGUCUAUCUAUAUAUCUAUCUUUCUACACACACCCACCCACAUAUACAUAUACGUACAUACAUACAUAUAUAGAGAGGUUUACAAAUGUAUAAGCAUGUAUUUGUGCAUAUACCGUGCGUGUAUGUAUAUAAAUGUAUAUAGGUAAGUUAUAGCUGUAAAUAUUACGUAUAUCUGCUUGUAUGUGUAUGUGCAUGUAAGUGUGUGUAUAUAAAUGUGUAUAUGUAUAUGUAAAUACAGCUAGGUACAUAUGCAUACAUACAUCAACAUACAUAUUUAGCCACAAAUGUAUAUAAUUACGUGUCAUUUUGUAUGAGGAGCAGUAUGUACACACGUACAUAGAGGCAUGUGUGCGCAGGCACACGUAUGUGUAAAUAUAUUGCUACCAAGUGUAUGUGCACAUUAUGUAUAGAAUGGCUGUACCUUACACACGUCCAUCUCGUACACUUCUACUGCCUAUAAACUUCACCUGCUUCUACUUCA